rnacentral:lncRNA from 1 species
AGCAAGCGCAGCUCUCAGGCCGGGCCUGAGCCUGCAGCCUGUGUGCCCUCCAUCAUCAGGGCCCCCUCUCAGGACAGGCUACACCGAGGGUGGGACGGCGGACUUCCAGGGACACUUCCAAGUCGUGCCCAUGCAGAUACCUCAGUAUACACUGCCCACAGUUAAGAAACCACGACCUGAGACAUUGUUUUGAAGAGGUGAAAAUGCCUCCACUCAAGUGGCCCAGGAGCGUGAUCCAGGAAGACGAACACACAGAACCAUCUUCUGCAUGGUUUGAAAAUUCAGUGGAAACUAGGACUCCAAGCUGCUGUCCCCUCUCUGCCGCAUCUGAGGCUGGGAAAACUUCCUAGGAGAAGGCAAGAGAAAGCCACCAGACCAGAGCCGAGGACUAAACUUUAAGGUCGAAGACGGCAGAGGGGCAGGUUCUCCCCUGCACACCCCAAGGCCUCUCCUGCACCCGCGAGGCCUUCC